GAUGAACGCUGGCGGCGUGCUUAACACAUGCAAGUCGAACGAGAAAUGUAGACGGAAACCUUCGGGCGGAAGCCUUCAUUUCGAGUGGCGGACGGGUGAGUAACGCGUGGGUACCCUGCCUCAUACAGGGGGAUAACAGUUGGAAACGACUGUUAAUACCGCAUAAGACCACAGCAUCGCAUGAUGCGGGGGUAAAAACUCCGGUGGUAUGAGAUGGACCCGCGUUCGAUUAGCCAGUUGGCGGGGUAACGGCCCACCAAAGCGACGAUCGAUAGCCGAUCUGAGAGGAUGACCGGCCACAUUGGGACUGAGACACGGCCCAAACUCCUACGGGAGGCAGCAGUGGGGAAUAUUGCACAAUGGGGGAAACCCUGAUGCAGCGACGCCGCGUGAGUGAAGAAGUACUUCGGUAUGUAAAGCUCUAUCAGCAGGGAAGAAAAUGACGGUACCUGAGUAAGAAGCCCCGGCUAACUACGUG
rnacentral:rRNA from 1 species